UAUAAUAUCUUGACUCUUCAUCUUAUUUGAUAUUUUUUCGAUUAAUAUUUUUAUUCUUACUAAAUAAUAAAAUAUGAACAGUAUUUUAUGCGUGACUAAAUUUUAAAGAUUUUACAAAUUUUUCAAAUAAGACGAAUGGUCAAACGUUGGACAUGGAAAAAC
rnacentral:pre_miRNA from 1 species